rnacentral:rRNA from 1 species
AACGAACGCUGGCGGCGUGCCUAACACAUGCAAGUCGUGCGGGAAAGUAGGGGCAACUCUACGAGUAGAGCGGCGCACGGGUGAGUAACACGUAGGUAACCUGCCUUCGAGACUGGGAUAACCUGUCGAAAGACGGGCUAAUACCGGAUAAGACCACUGGGGCUGCGGCUCCAGGGGCAAAAUGGUGGCCUCUGCUUGCAAGCUACCACUCGCAGCUGGGCCUGCUCGCCAUUAGCUUGUUGGCGGGGUAAUGGCCCACCAAGGCAAAGAUGGCUAGCUGGGCUGGGAGGAUGGCAAGCCACCCUGGGACUGAGACACGGCCCAGACUCCUACGGGAGGCAGCAGUGGGGAAUAUUGCGCAAUGGGCGAAAGCCUGACGCAGCGACGCCGCGUGGGUGAUGAAGGCCUUCGGGUCGUAAAGCCCUGUCGGGAGGGACGAAACCUCGGCGACCGAAUACGUCGUCGACCUGACGGUACCUCCUAAGGAAGCACCGGCUAACUCCGUGCCAGCAGCCGCAGUAAGAC